AUGGCGCUAGCUAUAAUGGAGUCAACCUUGAGAUACCACCCUUUACGCUUUUGAUAUCUAACUAUGUUUCAUUAUCUGGAACUAGGACAUUGUAUGGUGGGUAGUUUGACUGGGGCGGUCGCCUCCUAAAAAGUAACGGAGGCGUGCGAAGGUAAGCUAGAGCUGGUCGGAAAUCAGCUUGAUAGUAUAAUGGCAUAAGCUUACCUGACUGCGAGGUUGACAAACCAAGCAGAGACGAAAGUCGGUCAUAGUGAUCCGGUAAUUCUGUAUGGAAGGGUUAUCGCUCAACGGAUAAAAGGUACGCCGGGGAUAACAGGCUGAUGGUGUUCGAGAGUUCAUAUCGACGACACCGUUUGGCACCUCGAUGUCGACUCAUCACAUCCUGGGGCUGGAGAAGGUCCCAAGGGUUCGGCUGUUCGCCGAUUAAAGUGUUACGUGAGUUGGGUUUAGAACGUCGUGAGACAGUUCGGUUUCUAUCUGCCGUGGGUGAAGGAAAUUUGAGAAGAUCUGACUCUAGUACGAGAGGACCGAGAUGUAUAUACCUCUGGUGUACCAGCUGUUAUGCCAAUAGCAUCGCUGGGUAGCUAUGUAUAGAUGGGAUAAUUGCUGAAAGCAUAUAAGCAAGAAACCCUCUUCAAAAAAAUUUCCCAAUUAAGGCCGUGGGAGACUACCACGUUGAUAGGCUAAGUGUAGAAGCAUGGUAACAUGUGAAGCUAACUGGUACUAAUAGCCUGAUUGAUUUAUUUGCUUUC
rnacentral:rRNA from 1 species